UACGGAGGGUGCAAGCAUUGAUCGGAAUUACUGGGCGUAAGGGGCGCGUAGGCGGCUAGAAAAGUCAGAUGUGAAAUUCCGGGGCUCAACCCCGGAGCUGCAUUUGAAACUCUCUAGCUAGAGUGCAGUUAGGGUAAACGGAGUUCCACGUGUAGCGGUGAAAUGCGUAGAUAUGUGGAAGAACACCGGUGGUGAAGACGGUUUACUGGGCUGUAACAGACGCUGAGGCGCGAAAGCAUGGGGAGCAAAC
rnacentral:rRNA from 1 species